GGUCGCCUUCCUUGUUGCAGUCUCCACAUUUCACUUAUUGAAAGGCGGUUCUUGGUUGUGUCCUCGCUCUGCAGAAGGUCCAAUAUGCAGGGUCGUUGCAUUGCACGCUGUUACGACUAAGGGAAGCCGUGCAGAUGCGGCCCACAGGACAGCUGAGCACGCAGAGCCCAGACCCGACAGGAAGGGGACAAGUGAGGGAGGCUCCCGGAAGCCCCUCUGCAGUGGGCAGCGCCCGGCGCUGGGCCUGGGCUCGGGACGAAUUCACUCACACUGCUCAGUGGCCAGAAAAUGAUGCUAUUGCUGUGUCAUCUACCAACAAAACUUGAGCCCACCCUCAGGAUUCCUGACCAGACAGUUCCUCGGGGCUGAUGGGGAUUUGCGAGGUGGUGGGACUGUGCUCAAACAUGUCUGCAGCACCGUCAGAACCUCCUCUGGCUCCACUCGACCUUCUCUGGGCCGUGUAUCCAGGAGCCCUAACCUUUUUGAUGGCCUGCUAGAAUUAUGCCUCAGUCUAAAAAAGUAGCAGGAAAACUGAGUAGUGGCCGUGCCCCCACUGGAUUUGUGUUUGGCUUUGGGCCCUGGAGAAGAAAGGUGGGAGUGUUUCAGUUGUUCUCGGUAUGAACUACAUAAAUGUGAGUCACAGUGGUAAGACUCUCCAAGGGUCUCUCUAGAAACUCGUUCUGAGAUUACUUAACGUUAAAGAAGCCAGAGUAAGAUGCCCAGGGUCUUGCUCCUUUUUCAGGAUCCAUAACUUUGGGGAAAGAAAGUAAUAUAUAACUUAGAAGGAAUUUAUAAUAAUGAUGAGUAUUUAUAGUUGAAUCAUUUAUGAAAAUCCCAUGCUUUUGGAACUACUCCAUGAAGAGACUUCAGUGAUUUCAAAAGUUUGGGAAAUCCUCAAUACUUUCUUUUCUUUGUGGAGCAUCAUUGACCUUGGAAGCGUUCUGAGAACUUCUUCAGUAAAGGACCCCGUGGAAGGUGUAAGGCUGAACAAAAAUAUGUCGAAUGGAGGAAAGCGAAGGCUGGAAGGCCUCUUCCGUGAGUGCUGCGGAGAGCUGGCCUGAAGCAAGGACCCUUGACGUGGUCAGGCAGAGUGAUCCAGAGUCGACUGGCUCUGCAAAAUUGCUGGACUGACACUGCUCUUCCGUGUCUAAAAGAAAGGCGUGGGUGUCCCUUCAUCUAACACCUCGGGUCCUUGAGCUUAUGCGGUUUUCAGCUAUGUUCCAGGAAGAAGCACUAAGUGACAACCACGCUGGACCCAGCUGCUCUGAAACAGCCCAGAUCAGCCCAGACCACAACUGCAAGACUGGCACCUAUACAGACAGGCAGAGGCGUGUACCAAAGUAGCCUGCCUUCAUUAAUAUCGUAACUUCCCCUCCUCUGGGAGAGGUGAAACAGCCAUUUUUAGGUCAUGUGAUGUAUGUAGAAGCAUGAUUUCCAACCACUCAUGCAAACUUAUGCCCACCUCUACGUGCAAUGAUGAAACUUCCCCUUUGAAUAUUCAUUCCCCACCCCAAAUAAAGAUACCCACUGCCCUGUGCUCGGGGGGCCAUAGUUUUGUGGAAUUAUUCCCUGUGGUCUCCAUUUCUUUGCUGCAUGCUGCAAA